rnacentral:rRNA from 1 species
UGCAAGUCGAGCGGUAACAGGGGUAGCUUGCUACCCGCUGACGAGCGGCGGACGGGUGAGUAAUGCAUAGGAAUCUGCCCGAUAGUGGGGGAUAACCUGGGGAAACCCAGGCUAAUACCGCAUACGUCCUACGGGAGAAAGGGGGCUUCGGCUCUCGCUAUUGGAUGAGCCUAUGUCGGAUUAGCUAGUUGGUGAGGUAAUGGCUCACCAAGGCAACGAUCCGUAGCUGGUCUGAGAGGAUGAUCAGCCACAUCGGGACUGAGACACGGCCCGAACUCCUACGGGAGGCAGCAGUGGGGAAUAUUGGACAAUGGGCGAAAGCCUGAUCCAGCCAUGCCGCGUGUGUGAAGAAGGCCCUCGGGUUGUAAAGCACUUUCAGCGAGGAAGAACGCCUAGUGGUUAAUACCCAUUAGGAAAGACAUCACUCGCAGAAGAAGCACCGGCUAACUCCGUGCCAGCAGCCGCGGUAAUACGGAGGGUGCAAGCGUUAAUCGGAAUUACUGGGCGUAAAGCGCGCGUAGGUGGCUUGAUAAGCCGGUUGUGAAAGCCCCGGGCUCAACCUGGGAACGGCAUCCGGAACUGUCAAGCUAGAGUGCAGGAGAGGAAGGUAGAAUUCCCGGUGUAGCGGUGAAAUGCGUAGAGAUCGGGAGGAAUACCAGUGGCGAAGGCGGCCUUCUGGACUGACACUGACACUGAGGUGCGAAAGCGUGGGUAGCAAACAGGAUUAGAUACCCUGGUAGUCCACGCCGUAAACGAUGUCGACCAGCCGUUGGGUGCCUAGCGCACUUUGUGGCGAAGUUAACGCGAUAAGUCGACCGCCUGGGGAGUACGGCCGCAAGGUUAAAACUCAAAUGAAUUGACGGGGGCCCGCACAAGCGGUGGAGCAUGUGGUUUAAUUCGAUGCAACGCGAAGAACCUUACCUACUCUUGACAUCCUGCGAACUUGUGAGAGAUCACUUGGUGCCUUCGGGAACGCAGAGACAGGUGCUGCAUGGCUGUCGUCAGCUCGUGUUGUGAAAUGUUGGGGUUAAGUCCCGUACGAGCGCACC